UGCGGAAGGAUCAUUACUGAGUUGUUGACACGAGCUGUUGCUGGUCCUCAAAACAAGGGGGCAUGUGCACGCUCUGUUUACACAUCCACUCACACCUGUGCACCCCCGUGGUUCUAUGGUCUGGAGGACUUUUUGUCCUCUUCCUGUAGUUCUACGUCUUUACACAUACACCUUAGUGAAGUCUUAUGGAAUGUGCGCUGCGUCUAACGCAAUACAAUACAACUUUCAGCAACGGAUCUCUUGGCUCUCGCAUCGAUGAAGAACGCAGCGAAAUGCGAUAAGUAAUGUGAAUUGCAGAAUUCAGUGAAUCAUCGAAUCUUUGAACGCACCUUGCGCCUCUUGGCUAUUCCGAGGGGCAUGCCUGUUUGAGUAUCAUGAACACCUCAACUCUUAUGGUUUCCCCAUGAUGAGCUUGGACUUCUGGAGGUUUGCUGGCCCAUGGUCAGCUCCUCUCAAAUUGAUCAGCUUACCAGUGUUUGGUGGCGUCACAGGUGUGAUAAACAUCUACGCUUGUGGCCAUCUUCCAGGUAACCUUCAGUAAUGGAGGUUUGCUGGGGCUUAUAAAUGUCUCUCCUCUGUGAAGACAGCUUUUGAACGUUCGAUCUCAA
rnacentral:rRNA from 1 species